UGGGGAAUAUUGCACAAUGGGCGCAAGCCUGAUGCAGCCAUGCCGCGUGUAUGAAGAAGGCCUUCGGGUUGUAAAGUACUUUCAGCGGGGAGGAAGGGAGUAAAGUUAAUACCUUUGCUCAUUGACGUUACCCGCAGAAGAAGCACCGGCUAACUCCGUGCCAGCAGCCGCGGUAAUACGGAGGGUGCAAGCGUUAAUCGGAAUUACUGGGCGUAAAGCGCACGCAGGCGGUUUGUUAAGUCAGAUGUGAAAUCCUCGGACUCAACCUGGGAACUGCAUCUGAUACUGGCAAGCUUGAGUCUCGUAGAGGGGGGUAGAAUUCCAGGUGUAGCGGUGAAAUGCGUAGAGAUCUGGAGGAAUACCGGUGGCGAAGGCGGCCCCCUGGACGAAGACUGACGCUCAGGUGCGAAAGCGUGGGGAGCAAACAGG
rnacentral:rRNA from 1 species